rnacentral:rRNA from 1 species
AGUGAACGCUGGCGGUAGGCCUAACACAUGCAAGUCGAACGGCAGCACAGUAAGAGCUUGCUCUUACGGGUGGCGAGUGGCGGACGGGUGAGGAAUACAUCGGAAUCUACUUUUUCGUGGGGGAUAACGUAGGGAAACUUACGCUAAUACCGCAUACGACCUACGGGUGAAAGCAGGGGAUCUUCGGACCUUGCGCGAUUGAAUGAGCCGAUGUCGGAUUAGCUAGUUGGCGGGGUAAAGGCCCACCAAGGCGACGAUCCGUAGCUGGUCUGAGAGGAUGAACCGGCACCCUGGAGCGACGACACGUUCGAGACUGCGGGGGGGGGGAUGAGGUGGGAAUGUUGGAUGUUGGGCGCAAGCCUGUUGUCGCAAUCCCGGGUGUGUUAGGAAGGCCUCCGGUUGGUAAUGCCUGGUUGUUGGGAAAGAAAAGCAGCAGGUUACCGCCCCUGUGUCCUGACGUUACCAAAAGAACAAGCACCGGCUAAUUGCGUGCCAGCGGCCGCGGCAAAGGCGCGAAAAAACACAAGCCUGAGC